GCAAAUGAUUUUAUUUUCAAGCUUUGAUUAUAAAUUAUUCCGCGUUUGUAUACGUAUGUGUGUAAGUUUUGUGUGCAUGUGCAUCUCGUAAAAGUGAUUCCCCAUUCAACCUAUGUAUGUGUGUGUGUGUCCUGUUCGUCAGUAGGUAGUAGUAGAUUAUUAUUUUAGGAGUGGGGACGAAAUUACUAUCAGGAUUGUAAAAAUUACAAUCUGGAUUGUCAUAAUUAUUAAGAUUCUUUUAGUUCUUAUAAUAGAAUUAAUUCAAAACGUUUUAUGGAAAAAUAUAAUUCUGAUUCCGAGUGAGAAAAUAUCGAAAUUUGUGUUUAUUUAAAUGUUGAGAUAUACUAGCUAUAAAAUUUCAGUGCUACUGAAGUAUUGUCAUUGAUUCGAGAGUUUAUCGCAAACAAAUAUUCUAAUAAAAAAAAAAACAAUGAAGAUUAUCAGUGUUAUAAAUACGUAUCUAUCUAGAGCUGGAGAUCACGAGAGUGGAAGGUUAACAAGGAAAAAAGAUUAAAUAAAAUAAUCUAUAUUUUAUUAAGUUCUUUGAUAUGUUUUAAAUCUUCUUUAAGAUCACUAAAAUUUAAAAUUAUUAACUCUAUAAUGCUCGGCCUUCAAACCCCACCAUAAUUUUGAUUUAAAAGCUGGAAGAGUAGGGAGCGCUUAGGCGAUGGACGCCAGUGUCGUAAUAGUAGGAGAGCCCAGGCGGGGAUUUCGGGAUUUACUCGAGCGCAGCAGAUUAAUAUACAGGAGGGUACCUUGUACCCGGUUAAGUACUAUAAUAUGUACACUCGUUGUCAUUAAUGCCUGCCCCCCCCCCCCCCAGACUAUAGAAUCUUAGCCAUGCAGGGGACCAGGCAUUAAUGACAACGAGUGUAUAACCUGCGAAAAAAAAAUAUUUAACAUGAGACUAGUUGGACGUCAAUUGGGAUGUCCGUGUGUGAGCAAGAUAUCUCUCGAAAAACUCAAUUAAUCAGUCCAAUUUUUUUUCAAUAGCUUCAGAUUUUAUUAGAAUAGAAGCCUUUUAAAUAUUUCUACUGUAGUCCUUCUCGUUCAUUUAUUAUCAAUUAAAAACUGAAAACUGAUUAUGUUUACUAAUGCUUAAUCCGCCAUUUUUCCCCCACAAAUAUAAGUAGGCAUGAUUAUCAUGAAACUUUGCUGAUAUUAUAAGGCUCCACUUUACCAUCCGAUAAUUUUUUUUUUUUUUCAUUAUAUCGUGUGACAAAUCGACUUGCCAACUGUUAUCUAAUUAGCUAAAUUAAAAAAAAAAAAAAGGAAUGUCGAGAUGUUUAUUAAAAAAUUUUGCAAUAAAGAAAAAUUAUUAAUAAUUAAUUUUAUUGUAAUAUGAGCGUUCGAGGCGUGCACUUUUGGAUUUUCCAAAUUUUUUUUUAUUUGCCAAGGCUUGGGGACAUUGUUAUCAUCCUAGGCUUGGACCAAUCCUUGGCCCAAUGUUUAGCCAGACCUUAUCUGAGGCUGGUGACACUUGGCUCAGGGUCGGUCCAAGCCUUGCCCAGUUGUUCUUUCCUACCUGGGUACCGUGAAAAUAUUGUUCAAGAUGAAAAAAAAAUUUUGGUAAAAUUUGAGCUCUUAAUAUUAAUAUUAAGAGGUUCCGCUUCGUAAUUUUUGAUUGUCCAUUUAAAUAACAUGGGAAAAAAAUUGUUAAGUUUGGAAUUUUAUGCCUCGGCAAUCGCUCAUUGUACAGAUAGGGUCAAGAAAUAUUUUGUAGGGAAUUAAACGUUAUACAAAUAAAUUUAUCAUUUUUUGAUAAAUCCAUUUGUUCAAAAGUUAUUGGAGCUUCAAGUCAAAAUUAUAAUAAAUUUCAAGAUCUUUUUACUUUUCUGGUGAAACUAUCAGACUUAUCACAAAAUUUCAUAGGAACUUCUUUAGAGACAAUUUUAUUCCCUACAAAUUUUUCUAGUAAAGUUUUUUCAAAUUCCGCAUUGUUUUCUAGUUAUUUUCAUCCUAAUGUUAAGUUCUUGAAAUUGAUCAGAAGACUAUUUUUUGUGGAGCUUGACAUCGAAAUGAAAAUAACUAGAUAACAAUGCGUUAAUGGUCAAGAUCAUGACAUAUUUCAAAAAAUAAAUAAUGACAUAUAUGAAGACCAAUAUAUGAGGAAUUUUCCACACGACUGUACGACGUUUUAUUUGCAUACUAUUGUUUUGUCAAAAGUUCAAUAGGUUUUGAUUGAUAACGCGUUGGUUUUGUUUAUUCAAAUUUGUUAUUGCUAACUUAUUUUACAAUGUUAGACCUGACAUUGACUCAUGCACAAAAUUGUUAGCGUCAGCGAUUUGCAGUAUGUUACAGUAUAUUUAUUUUUUAUGGAUAUAUGCAUAAUCCUUGAGAACUGGAUACAAAAGCUCACAUUUCGAUCGAUAUUGUUGCAGACGUCUUCUUCAUCUCCAGCAUCGCUCGAGUAUUCAAAGUUCAUAUUUUUUUAAAUCGUCAAAAACGACAACAAUUUCCAAAAUGUUCAAAGUGUUGAUAUUCUCACUUUUGAUGCUCGCAUUGGUAGCAACUAUUAAUGCUGUUAUAAAUUGUGAAGGACGAUGGUGUCACCCGAGUCAGGGUUACGACUGCUGCAUCGGUUUUGCCUGUUCAGCCUAUUUCUGGCAAGGUUUCUGCAUGGGUAGAAUCGGAUAAUACCAGUAUAUUUUUUGAUGCCAAAAAAAAUUAUGUAGGAUCAAUAACUUAAUAAAUAUACCCGUUAAAAGUUUUUCAAAAUAAUGGAUAUUUUUUUAACAAUUUUACUAAGCGUUUGAAUCUCUGUAACUUUUGAAGAAUUGAUUUUAUGGAAUUUUUCAAACAGAUCCUCAUGUAUGUAACUAUAUUUAAACAUGUUUUGGUUUUGCUACAAGAUUUAAUACAGUAAUGAAAACAACAAUAACAA